UGAGUAACACGUGGACAAUCUGCCCCCCGGCCCGGGAUAGCCCAGGGAAACCUGGAUUAAUACCGGAUGAGACGGGACCCGCGAUGGCGGGACCCGGGAAGGCGCUGCGGCGCCGCCGGGGGAUGAGUCUGCGUCCCAUUAGCUAGACGGCGGGGUAAGGCCCACCGUGGCGACGAUGGGUAGCCGGCCUGAGAGGGUGACGGCCACAUUGGAACUGAGACACGGUCCAGACUCCUACGGGAGGCAGCAGCUAAGAUCUUCCGCAAUGGGCGAAAGCCUGACGGAGCGACGGACCCCGCGUGAACGAAGAAGGCCGUGAGGUUGUAAAGUUCUUUUCGGGAGGGGGAACAACCGUGGCAGGGAAUGGCCGCGGGAUGACGUGAAUCCCGGAAUAAGCCCCGGCUAACUACGUGCCAGCCGCAGC
rnacentral:rRNA from 1 species